GUCGGGGCUGGGCUGGCAGCGGGGCCGGGGCUGACGUCCCGGGCAGGGCCAGGGCCGGGCCAGGAGCGGCUCGAGCCGCGAGCGGCGUUGCCGGGGUAACCGCGGGGUCUGAGGAGGGGUGGCCGAUGCCGCGCCGCGCAGGCGUGGAAGCGAGGGCUCCCGAACGCGGAAGUAAGGCCGGGAUGGAAGCGGCGGGAGUGAUGACGUCAGCAGCAGGCGCCGCCGGUCAAACGCGGAAGCGGCCGCGAAUCCGGGCCGCAUGGGGAUAGCGGGAGGGCCAGAUGGAAGCUCCGGGACCGCCCCUGGCCGCGCGCAUGGCUCAUCUGAUGGGAGGACCCCAGGCUCGGGAGUGUCUGCCUCAGAGUUUGUACCAAAACCAAAGUGAAGUUGGUGUCACCUUCUCUAAACUGGGAGAACAGAUCACUCCAAGCUGUGGGGAGAUGGAGAGGCUGUAGGAUGGAGAGGGAGCAUCUGGAAACGAGUCAAGAAACUUUAACAGAUUCCAUUUAGCUAGAGCAGGGUUAGAUAUUAGUGAAAUAUCUUGCUAACUGUGUUAAACUAAGAAAAUAAGCAAUCAAGUUCAUAGAAUUGCAAAACUCAGGAUGAAAGAACUCGUGUGGCAGUUAUUCUUCUCUUGCAGGAUGGUUCCUUCUGUGCAAUCACUAAUGACUGACGAGACCCUCUGCAGCUUGUGAAAUGACAGGGCUGCUGUCAGUGCUUAGGAAAUCCAAGUGCACAGCCCCUGCUCCUUCCUUGUCACCGAGCCGCUCUCGUGAGCGCAGUCAGCCCCAAGUGCUGAACUUGUGCUGUUCUCUGCCUGUGGCUCUCUCCUGCAGGGAUCCAGGUUUAUUCUCUUUUUAGCUGCUUGCACUAGAUGCCCAUAUUCCAGCUGAAUUAACACUUCCCAGUCUGGAGCAGUGCUGGUGCUCUGAGGUGACCGUGUGCCGUGCUCAGAGCUCGGCGUGGCACAGCUCCCUGGGGCUGGGCCAGUCUCAGACGUGCGGCCAAAAUUCUGUGUUUCCUGGAGCUGGGAG
rnacentral:lncRNA from 13 species